rnacentral:misc_RNA from 1 species
AAAUGUUCUCUGGCUUUAUACUCUAUUUCUCUUAGUUUUCCAAUGGAUGAUCCUACUCAUAACAUAUCUAAAAUAUUGGUCUACCUGAACAACUGAAGAACAAAAGAUAGAAACUAAUCUGACUUCAACUGUACUUGUGUUUUGUGGUAGAAUUGACACACCAAUUAGAACUUUCAUCAGUAAACCCAUUAAAACUUGCUGUAAGAAUGAAAU